GACGAACGCUGGCGGCGUGCUUAACACAUGCAAGUCGAACGGAAAGGCCCUGCUUUUGUGGGGUGCUCGAGUGGCGAACGGGUGAGUAACACGUGAGUAACCUGCCCUUGACUUUGGGAUAACUUCAGGAAACUGGGGCUAAUAUCGGAUAGGAGCUCCUGCUGCAUGGUGGGGGUUGGAAAGUUUCGGCGGUUGGGGAUGGACUCGCGGCUUAUCAGCUUGUUGGUGGGGUAGUGGCUUACCAAGGCUUUGACGGGUAGCCGGCCUGAGAGGGUGACCGGCCACAUUGGGACUGAGGUACGGCCCAGACUCCUACGGGAGGCAGCAGUGGGGAAUAUUGCACAAUGGGCGGAAGCCUGAUGCAGCAGCGCCGCGUGCGGGAUGACGGCCUUCGGGUUGUAAACCGCUUUCGCCUGUGACGAAGCGUGAGUGACGGUAAUGGGUAAAGAAGCACCGGCUAACUACGUG
rnacentral:rRNA from 1 species